UUGGGGAAUAACUCAGGGAAACUUGAGCUAAUACCGCAUAAUGCAGCGGCUCGACAUCGAGACAGUUGUUAAAGCGGGGGAUUGGAGCAAUCCGACCUCGCGCCUGAAGAGAAGCCUGCGGCAGAUUAGCUAGUUGGUAAGGUAAUGGCUUACCAAGGCGACGAUCUGUAACCGGCCUGAGAGGGCGGUCGGUCACACUGACACUGACAUACGGGUCAG
rnacentral:rRNA from 1 species